GUUUUAUUUCCUGUGCUUUUUAUACUACCAAAUAUAUGAGCAUAUUUGUGGCUUAUUAAACAUUUUUAACCUCAUUUAUAAUAGCUUCAUAAUAUUCUAUUUUAGAGAAGUUCCAUAGUUUAUUUGACAAAUCCCUUAUUGUCAGAUACUCAGGUUGUUUCAAAUUAUUUUUCAGUUUCUUGAAGGGAAUGUACAAGUUCUAACCUGGGGAUAAUCACAAUGCUUGGCUCAUGGGUCAUUGUGCUGAUUAAAUAAAUUAUUAUAGGAAAAGUGUUUAGGAAAUGAAACAAGUACUGUAUGUGUGUUAGCGAAGGUUAUUCUUUUAGGCCUAUUAUUUUGAUAAUGCUAUAGUUGUUACCAUUUUAUACGCAUCUUUGAACACAUAAGUGAUUAUUUCCUGGGUCAGAGGGGAGAGCAGUGUGAAGGCUGGCAUAAAAUUCAUCCCCAAUUUAUGGAGGGUGUGCUUGCCACUGACAGGGAGACCAAAGGGGUGGAACUGAGCCCCAGGCUUUGGCUGGAAACAUCUGUCAUGAUCUGACUGUGAUGCCUUACGAAGUAUGAACAAUGAGUUAGUUCACCUCAGGGCUGAAAAAAGGAAGCGUAGAAAGCAUGCAAAAUAGAGACGCCCAGGAAAGUAUCUGCCAGCGCAGCAAAGAGACCAGUUUGCCCUCGAGCUCCAGAUUGGGCUUUGUUCUGGCACUGAGCCAUGAAUCUACCAAGGAGCAAACCCCUCCAGAAAACCUGUCAUUUUCACAUGGAACUUUUGAUGAUGGUGAAGACUUGAAGUGGGUUUCUACAGAAUCAGAGGUCCGGGAGUGUCAGAGUCGCCUGAACACCAGGAGGGCGUCUGGGUACCCAGGACGGCGGCAAGUCAGGACAGUGGCCACGAGCCAGACCAGCAGUAGAGGAGCCUUCUAAGUAAGUAUUUCUGAGUAACUUUGAAAAUUACAUGUCAUUUGUGUACAGUCCCCCAUUAUCCUCGCUUUUACUUGCAGCAGUUUCCUUUCUGUGGUCAACUGAGGUCCAAAAAUAUUAAAUGGAAAAUUCCGGAAGUAAAUAACUCAU
rnacentral:lncRNA from 1 species